UACGAAGGGGGGCUAGCGUUGUUCGGAUUUACUGGGCGUAAAGCGCACGUAGGCGGAUCGUUAAGUCAGGGGGUGAAAUCCUGGGGCUCAACCCCAGAACUGCCUUUGAUACUGGCGAUCUCGAGUCCGGAAGAGGUGAGUGGAACUCCUAGUGUAGAGGUGGAAUUCGUAGAUAUUAGGAAGAACACCAGUGGCGAAGGCGGCUCACUGGUCCGGUACUGACGCUGAGGUGCGAAAGCGUGGGGAGCAAACAGG
rnacentral:rRNA from 1 species